rnacentral:rRNA from 1 species
UACGUAGGUGGCAAGCGUUAUCCGGAUUUACUGGGUGUAAAGGGAGCGUAGACGGCAGGGCAAGUCUGAAGUGAAAGCCCGCGGCCCAACUGCGGGACUGCUUUGGAAACUGCCCGGCUAGAGUGCUGGAGAGGUAAGCGGAAUUCCUAGUGUAGCGGUGAAAUGCGUAGAUAUUAGGAGGAACACCAGUGGCGAAGGCGGCUUACUGGACAGUAACUGACGUUGAGGCUCGAAAGCGUGGGGAGCAAACAGG